GACGAACGCUGGCGGCGUGCCUAAUACAUGCAAGUCGAGCGAAGUUUUUCUGGUGCUUGCACUAGAAAAACUUAGCGGCGAACGGGUGAGUAACACGUAAAGAACCUGCCUCAUAGACUGGGACAACUAUUGGAAACGAUAGCUAAUACCGGAUAACAGCAUUAACUGCAUGGUUGAUGUUUGAAAGUUGGUUAUGCUAACACUAUGAGAUGGCUUUGCGGUGCAUUAGCUAGUUGGUGGGGUAAAGGCCCACCAAGGCGACGAUGCAUAGCCGACCUGAGAGGGUGAUCGGCCACACUGGGACUGAGACACGGCCCAGACUCCUACGGGAGGCAGCAGUAGGGAAUCUUCCGCAAUGGGCGAAAGCCUGACGGAGCAACGCCGCGUGAGUGAAGAAGGAUUUCGGUUCGUAAAGCUCUGUUGUUAGGGAAGAAUGGAUAUGUAGUAACUAUACAUAU
rnacentral:rRNA from 1 species